UAAUACGGAGGGGGCUAGCGUUGUUCGGAAUUACUGGGCGUAAAGCGCACGUAGGCGGCUUUGUAAGUUAGAGGUGAAAGCCCGGAGCUCAACUCCGGAAUUGCCUUUAAGACUGCAUCGCUCGAAUCAUGGAGAGGUGAGUGGAAUUCCGAGUGUAGAGGUGAAAUUCGUAGAUAUUCGGAAGAACACCAGUGGCGAAGGCGACUCACUGGACAUGUAUUGACGCUGAGGUGCGAAAGCGUGGGGAGCAAACAGG
rnacentral:rRNA from 1 species